rnacentral:rRNA from 1 species
CCCUUAGACGUUCUGGGCAGCACGCGCGCUACAAUGGUCUUCGCAAACGGAUGCAUUCUCGAAGGAGAAUGCCAAUCUUGGAAUCUAUGCCUUGGUCGGGACAGUUGCUUGCAAUUUUUCGACUCGAACCAGGAAUUCCUUGUAAUCGUGAUUCAUCACAUCACGAUGAAUACGUCCCUGCCCUUUGUACACACCGCCCGUCGCUCCUACCGAUCGAAGAGUUAGGUGAAUUGUUUUGAUCGAUAAGAUUUGACUAUGGUCAACUCUCGUUGUGAAAUUCUGUGAAUCUGACUGUUUAGAGGAAGGAAAAGUCGUAACA